CCAAUAGCGUAUAUUAAAGUUGUUGCAGUUAAAAAGCUCGUAGUUGAAUUUCGGGAUCAGACUGUCGGUCGUGCCUCGGUACGCACUGGCAUUAUUGGUUCCUACCUUCUGAAGAACCGCUAUGUCAUUAAUUUUGUUUCGUGGGGAAUCAGGACUGUUACUUUGAAAAAAUUAGAGUGUUUUAAGCAGGCCCACGCCUUAAUACAUUAGCCUGGAAUAAUGAAAUAGGACGUUUGAUUCUAUUUUGUUGGUUUCUAGGAUUGACGUAAUGAUUAAUAGGGAUAGUUGGGGGCAUUAGUAUUCAAUUGUCAGAGGUGAAAUUCUUGGAUUUAUUGAAGACUAACUACUGCGAAAGCAUUUGCCAAGGAUGUUUUCAUUAAUCAAGAACGAAAGUUAGGGGAUCGAAGACGAUCAGAUACCGUCGUAGUCUUAACCAUAAACUAUGCCGACUAGGGAUCGGAUGAUGUUAAUUUUUUAAUGACUCAUUCGGCGCCUUACG
rnacentral:rRNA from 1 species